rnacentral:rRNA from 1 species
GAUGAACGCUGGCGGCGUGCUUAACACAUGCAAGUCGAACGGUGAAGCAGGAGCUUGCUCUUGUGGAUCAGUGGCGAACGGGUGAGUAACACGUGAGCAACCUGCCCCUGACUCUGGGAUAAGCGCUGGAAACGGCGUCUAAUACUGGAUAUGUGAUGUGACCGCAUGGUCUGCAUCUGGAAAGAAUUUCGGUUGGGGAUGGGCGCGCGGCCUAUCAGCUUGUUGGUGAGGGAAUGGCUCACCAAGGAGUCGACGGGUAGCCGACCUGAGAGGGUGACCGGCCCGACUGAGACUGAGACACGGCCCAGACUCCUACUGGAGGCAGCAGUGGGGAAUAUUGCACAAUGGGCGGAAGCCUGAUGCAGCAACGCCGCGUGAGGGAUGACGGCCUUCGGGUUGUAAACCUCUUUUAGCAGGGAAGAAGCGAAGGUGACGGUACCUGCUGAAAAAGCACCGGCUAACUACGUGCCAGCCGCCGCCGUAA